rnacentral:rRNA from 1 species
GAUGAACGCUGGCGGAAUGCUUUACACAUGCAAGUCGAGCGGCAGCGCGGGGCAACCUGGCGGCGAGCGGCGAACGGGUGAGUAAUGCAUCGGAACGUACCCAGUCGUGGGGGAUAACUGUCCGAAAGGACAGCUAAUACCGCAUACGUCCUGAGGGAGAAAGCGGGGGAUCGCAAGACCUCGCGCGAUUGGAGCGGCCGAUGCCGGAUUAGCUAGUUGGUAGGGUAAAGGCCUACCAAGGCGACGAUCCGUAGCUGGUCUGAGAGGACGACCAGCCACACUGGAACUGAGACACGGUCCAGACUCCUACGGGAGGCAGCAGUGGGGAAUUUUGGACAAUGGGGGCAACCCUGAUCCAGCCAUUCCGCGUGAGUGAAGAAGGCCUCGGG